rnacentral:lncRNA from 1 species
GGAAAAAAAAUCUGAUUACCGCUGUGCUUCAGAGCUGCGCAGCAGGUUGCUGAUAGCGGGAGAUAAACAGUCCUGUGGCUCACAGGGAGUGGAGCACUGAGCCAGGAUUUGGGAGGAGCGCUGAGCUGGGAAAUGUUUGAAUGUGUCAAUAUAUACGAUAAAGUAUGCUAAUAAUAAAGUUUAAAGGGAGCGCUAAACUGUGAAGCUACUGUCUUGCACCUGCUCCAUCAGCUGUGAAACAGCAAUGAAGGGAGCUGAGACGGUUUUGAAUGGCCUGGGUGGCCGCAGUCCCUCUAGCCUACAUGGAAAAAAAGAGAUUCAUUUCAAAAUCUCCAUCAGGCUCUGAAAUAAAUACUUGACAAAAAAGUAGCUAUUUGAGAAUAGCUAUUACCCUAGCUUCAGUUUCUUCUGUUGCACUAAAAAACCAUGUAAUGGGUUUCAUAUAUUGCCAAUGUAAUAUACUGGCCCGGAGCUUCUUAAUGUUUCAUUUCUGAGAAUUCCUGGUUUUAGUGUGUAUCAGAUGUCUUUUUGUUUGAUUUUUUUUAUUUGAUUCUUGUCACUGUGUUGUGAAUGUGUUUCUCUGAAGCAAUCUGUACUGUGUACUUAUGUCUGUGGUGGCUACUUGCAAGGUUACAUUUAAAAUGGGUGAUGCUCAAAACGGCUCCUUUUCAGUAAAAAGGUUGUCACUUUUUCUAACCCUUUCAUCUACAUUGUCUCCCCCACAAAAAUUCUCUCUCUUGAAUUUUCUCUCUUCCCUUCUUAUGACAGAACAAUUUUCAUAUAGAUGAAUGAAGCUUUCUUGUUUGAUAAAUGACAGCUAAUUAAACAAUCCCUUCUAUCGCUGCUCCCUCUUAUCCCAGGCAUAAGAAUCGGUAUGGACCGUGUUGAAAUAAUGAGCUAUGUUUUUUGCUUUCUACCACCUAUGUUAAGUGUCACACAGUGACAGGUGUGCUGGUAGCUGUGAUGAAUCACUUCUCUAGCACAAUACUGUAGUUGUAUUCAUUAUAACUACUGGCAAUCUGAAACAAGAGAUUGGGAAAAAUCUCUAGUAGCAGCACACCCAUAGCAUUGUACUGGUAGCUACAGUGCUUAAGUACAGUGUUAAGUGUAAGGUCGACAAUUAAAGCAUCUAGCAUUUGCAGUGGUGGACUUACUAGAGGUUUUUGUUAAAUUAUACUGUUUAACUUUUCUCAGCAGCAAAAAGCAGGACACUACUUUGUACAUUUCUUUCACCAAAAAUUAGGUACUGUUAAAUGAAUGUAUAAAUUUAGUAUUUCAAAGCUGUCUGAUUCAAGGCCAUCGAAAUGAGAGAAAAAAUCCUAAUUCACUUCUAUGGACUGUGAGUCAGCUCCUUUUAGUUUAAAAAUUGCUAAUGUGGAAGCUGUUACAUCCUUAUUAAAAUAUUUUGUGAAAAGUUU